AACAACAACAGCUGCUUGGAGUACAGUUCGAGAGGUGGGACAGCGAUUGCGAACAAGAAUGUUGGCGAAUCUACCCCCUUUUUCUACUAAAUAACUGUGUCCUAAUUUGAUUCUGGGAGUCAAAAAAAAGAAAGAAAAAAGUGUAAUACACCUCGGAGGAAGACGUCUAGCUUGCUCGUGGAGACAGAUAAGUCAAGUUACAGAUUCAAGGUUUCACAUAACAUGUGAUCCAGAAAGAUGUUAAGUUUAUUUCGUUCUAGCUGCCUUUGCUCCUUUGUUAUUCUUGAAUGGAUAAUACUUGUUCUGCCCUAGAGGAAAGGAGGAUAUUACUGCAAUACCGCACGUUGUGCAUGGAUAUCAACAGUAGUGUUCUCCAAUGGUCGUUCAUGUGGUAUCUAGAAGUUACGAUCUCAGCAUUGUUAUAGAGAGAAUGACCAGUUAGACGAGUAGCGCUAGUUGCUUUGGGGAAAUGCCAAAUUUCUUGUGAACUGAGGAACGUUGAAUUCAGACAGUCUGGAACAGAAUCCUGAAGGAGAAACAGUUGAGAGAAUCCAAUAAAAGUGGCAGUUUCGUGAAAUUAAAAGCAAGUGCACACACCGUGUUUGCGUUAAGCAUAAUAAUAGAGAUUGUUCACCUUCCAUUUCACAUCAUGUCUAGUCUCAUUGUUCCACUUACCAUCACGAUUUAACAUUAUUUAAUUUGAUUAAAUCUCUGGUUAUUAAACAGACCUAGUUGAUAGCUCAAAUGUUAACUCAUUCUUAACUGCACAUACCACAGUGUGCAUAGGAAGGAUAAAAUGUUGAUGCCGUGACUACGAGAUACCAUAUUGUGGAGUCUAGUAUAUCUACUGAGGUGCUUACUGCUCUUUACUCCUACUCUUGUGUGACUAAGUUUCAAAAGGUUUCAUAUAGUUAAGGAAAUGGCAUUUUUCACACUAGGGGAAGAUGGUUGUCUGAGUUACUGAGUCUAGUAAAAGUACUCUCCUGGACAAAUGGCUUUUACCAAUGGUGGGGCCUGUUGGUAUAACAUGUUAGACCUGUCAUCCAUAUAUUGGCAAGUCAAUCAGGAUGACAAAAAGAGAUAUAAGACUGCGUUUUAGCAUAAGAAAUUACUUGUACAUGGUUCACGUCAUGUCUUUCAGCCUGCGUAAUGUGCCCACCACUUUCGAGAGACUAAUGGAGCUUACACUGAAGGGGCUGCAAAAGAAGAAGUGUCAGAUUUAUGUUGACAACAUCUUGGUAUUUGGUGGCACGUCUGAGUCUGUCGCUGAGAGCCAGAAAAAUGUAUUCCAGUGGAUAAAAAAAGUCAGGCUUGAAACUG